rnacentral:lncRNA from 1 species
UGUGUUGGGACGAUACAGCCGGAGCGCCGCCGUGGCGGUGGUAGGAACUACGAGACGGCGCGCGUCAUCCUCCGCGAGGCUUAUCGUGUCCUAGGUGCUUAGUUCGUAGCCGUGCUGAUGGCAUGCUGAUAGAUUCACACGGGUGAGUUUGGCUAAGUUUGGCCUAGUUACGUCGUUAUGUGAUUGGUCAGUACCUCCAGUUAAUAAUGAAAAUAUUUACAUAACCUCCAAAUUUUUUUUUUUUUUUUUUUUUUUUUUACUGCUGGUUUAUUGGCUUUAAGACCACCUAAAGACAAAGUAACAGUAACAAGUGAAAACAAUAUUUUUCUGUAUAUUCUCCGUAGAAUACAAUAUUUUUAUGGGAUUCGGAUUUGUGAUGUGAUAUUUCGAAUGACAGAAGCUUUUGAAAGUCUUUGUACCAGAUUAAGCGUUCUUUAGCACGAUCUUAAGGUCACGUAAAGAAUAAACUGAUCACUGCAGUCAGUCAAAUACCAGACGUGUGCAAUAGAAACCUCUUUAUGUAUUUACUAUCCCCUCAGAACCUCUUUGUGUUUUCCCUUUCAUUUCAGUUUCUUCAAAUGAGUAUGAUCAGCUUAAAGAUUGUGACGGAUGAGCUGCUUCUAAUGCUAAAGCAUGCCUAACGUCUGGUAGCUCUCUUUGUUGCAGGUUCAUUAAACGUAGUAAAAUUUCUUCAACAAAAGCAGGUCUUCUAGUUUUUAUGCUGAGAAGUUUGUCAGCCUUUCGUCCAGCAGUAUCCACCUCUGUUAUGUCGUUUUAUUAUGGUGUCAUUGGUCCAAAAGCAGGGAUUUUUAAUACAUGGGAUAAAGCAAAAGCUUGCACUAAUGGCGUUAGUGGGGCACGCUGCAAGAAGUUCAAAACCCUUAAAGAAGCACAAGAUUACCUAGCUGAUCACAACCAUGAGUUUUAUUCAACUGGGCAGCUAUUAGAGAAUAAAAUUCUUCCUGAAAAUGGGGUAGCAUCGCAAAGCAGGAUCGCCAGUAAAAUAUUGCUCAAAAGUGACUGUGAUUUCUCCAAGCCAAUAGCAGUGAAAAAAAAGUUUGAGACCAAAUUAACUUCCAAGUUCCGCUCUUAUGAUGAGCUCUCAAAAAGAUUAGAGAAAUUAAAUCAAACGAGGAGAGGAAAUCCAAAUCCUCCACCUUCUGCAAAAAGCUCACCCCUAACUGAGGUCAAAGACUGCAAUUCUAAAAGAGGCAGAAGUCCGUCUGUCCUUGCAAGCAAUGAGACAACAGGAAACAUCAAACGCAGACGCCUAAUUGACACUGUGUCGAUAUCAGAUUCUGACGAAGAAAUCCCAGAGACAAAGAAAGUAGUUCCUGCACAACCUUCACGAGUGGUAGAAGUAAUUUCCUCAUCUGGCAGUGAUUCUGAGCCAAGCUCUGACAUCUGGGAGGAUGAUGACAUUUUUGAGGAAGUACCUGAAUUUUUACUUACACCCGCAUCAUCUCUCUGCUCUGCAAAUUCUAAUCGUAACGACCACCCAUCCAGCUCCUCUAUUCCUCUUAUGAAGGGGCCAAGUGGUAAGUCCUUGUUCGGGGGAAGGGCGAUAGUGGGGGUGGAGGGGGGAUGUGUCAGACAUCAGCAUUUCCUUUCAAUCCUUGCAUUAGAAGUCUUACUUUCUCAUUCCCCUCGUGAGUAG